rnacentral:rRNA from 1 species
CCCUUAGAUGUUCUGGGCCGCACGCGCGCUACACUGAUGCAUGCAGCAAGUCUUUUCCUUGGCCGAGAGGCCUGGGCAAUCUUUGAAUAUGCAUCGUGAUGGGGAUAGACGAUUGCAAUUAUUCGUCUUCAACGAGGAAUUCCUAGUAAACGCAAGUCAUCAGCUUGCAUUGAUUACGUCCCUGCCCUUUGUACACACCGCCCGUCGCACCUACCGAUUGAAUGGUCCGGUGAAAUCUCCGGACUGGCGUGAGUCGGAGCAAUCUGACAAACACCGGAAAGUUGAUUAAACCUUACCAUUUAGAGGAAGGUGAAGUCGUAACA